rnacentral:rRNA from 1 species
AAGCGCGCGUAGGUGGUUUGUUAAGUUGGAUGUGAAAUCCCCCGGGCUCAACCUGGGAACUGCAUUCAAAACUGACUGACUAGAGUAUGGUAGAGGGUGGUGGAAUUUCCUGUGUAGCGGUGAAAUGCGUAGAUAUAGGAAGGAACACCAGUGGCGAAGGCGACCACCUGGACUGAUACUGACACUGAGGUGCGAAAGCGUGGGGAGCAAACAGGAUUAGAUACCCGAGU